GGAAAACUCCUGGAAGAAGUCAAGUCAUAAGCUGGAUGUGCUCGGUGAGGUGAGGUUGCAUAGUGGCUUCCAGUUUGAUGGUGAAGAAAACUAGGUGUUCGCAUCAGGUCAUCUAAAUACCCUUAGCCCUGGACAGAUUUGAGUGGCCCUGAAAACGUCUGCUCCCUGGCUGCCCUUCCUCUGUGCUCCUUUAUAGAUCAACCCUCCCACUGCUAGACCCUGGCCUGGGAACUACCUCUGGAGGGGCCUUUGCUGAGCACUGCUCUCAUCCACUACAUGCUGAUUUUGGAGUUCAACAUUGGGAAGUGUCUGACCCCAAGAUCAUCAUCAAUCCUAAAUGAAAUCUGUGAAACUCUGGAAACAGCUAAAUUUGAGGUUACUGAACACCUCACUAUGCCCCAGGCCCUGUGCCGUCAUCUGGAAUCAGAGAUGUGGAUCCACCUGAGAGGGGCCGAGAUUCUUCCCCCAGCGUGUCUCUCCAGUUGUGGCAUGUGGGACGCCGCCU
rnacentral:lncRNA from 1 species